rnacentral:rRNA from 1 species
ACGUAGGGUGCAAGCGUUAAUCGGAAUUACUGGGCGUCAAGCGAGCGCAGACGGUUAUUUAAGUCAGGUGUGAAAUCCCCGAGCUCAACUUGGGAAUGGCGCUUGAAACUGGGUAACUAGAGUGUGUCAGAGGGGGGUAGAAUUCCACGUGUAGCAGUGAAAGGCGUAGAGAUGUGGAGGAAUACCGAUGGCGAAGGCAGCCCCCUGGGAUAACACUGACGUUCAUGCUCGAAAGCGUGGGUAGCAAACAG